UACCCGUUGGUUUUCGGACAGUU
rnacentral:miRNA from 1 species